UGGGGAAUAUUGCGCAAUGGGCGAAAGCCUGACGCAGCGACGCCGCGUGAGGGAUGAAGGUUUUCGGAUCGUAAACCUCCGUCAGAAGGGAAGAAACCGCACUGUGCUAAUCAGCAGUGCCUUGACGGUACCUUCAAAGGAAGCACCGGCUAACUCCGUGCCAGCAGCCGCGGUAAUACGGAGGGUGCAAGCGUUAAUCGGAAUUACUGGGCGUAAAGCGCACGUAGGCUGCUUUGUAAGUCAGGGGUGAAAUCCCACGGCUCAACCGUGGAACUGCCUUUGAUACUGCUUAGCUUGAAUCCGGGAGAGGGUGGCGGAAUUCCAGGUGUAGGAGUGAAAUCCGUAGAUAUCUGGAGGAACAUCAGUGGCGAAGGCGGCCACCUGGACCGGUAUUGACGCUGAGGUGCGAAAGCGUGGGGAGCAAACAGG
rnacentral:rRNA from 1 species